UGGGGAAUAUUGCACAAUGGGCGCAAGCCUGAUGCAGCCAUGCCGCGUGUGUGAAGAAGGCCUUCGGGUUGUAAAGCACUUUCAGCGGGGAGGAAGGCGAUAAGGUUAAUAACCUUGUCGAUUGACGUUACCCGCAGAAGAAGCACCGGCUAACUCCGUGCCAGCAGCCGCGGUAAUACGGAGGGUGCAAGCGUUAAUCGGAAUUACUGGGCGUAAAGCGCACGUAGGCGGUCUGUCAAGUCGGAUGUGAAAUCCCCGGGCUCAACCUGGGAAGUACAUUCGAAAGUGGCAGGCUAGAGUAUUGUAGAGGGGGGUAGAAUUCCAGGUGUAGCGGUGAAAUGCGUAGAGAUCUGGAGGAAUACCGGUGGCGAAGGCGGCCCCCUGGACAAAGACUGACGCUCAGGUGCGAAAGCGUGGGGAGCAAACAGG
rnacentral:rRNA from 1 species